UACGGGAGGCAGCAGUGGGGAAUAUUGCACAAUGGGGGAAACCCUGAUGCAGCGACGCCGCGUGAGCGAAGAAGUAUUUCGGUAUGUAAAGCUCUAUCAGCAGGGAAGAAAAUGACGGUACCUGACUAAGAAGCACCGGCUAAAUACGUGCCAGCAGCCGCGGUAAUACGUAUGGUGCAAGCGUUAUCCGGAUUUACUGGGUGUAAAGGGAGCGUAGACGGAUGGGCAAGUCUGAUGUGAAAACCCGGGGCUCAACCCCGGGACUGCAUUGGAAACUGUUCAUCUAGAGUGCUGGAGAGGUAAGUGGAAUUCCUAGUGUAGCGGUGAAAUGCGUAGAUAUUAGGAGGAACACCAGUGGCGAAGGCGGCUUACUGGACAGUAACUGACGUUGAGGCUCGAAAGCGUGGGGAGCAAACAGGAUUAGAUACCCUGGUAGUCCACGCCGUAAACGAUGACUACUAGGUGUCGGGUGGCAAAGCCAUUCGGUGCCGCAGCAAACGCAAUAAGUAGUCCACCUGGGGAGUACGUUCGCAAGAAUGAAACUCAAAGGAAAUUGACGGA
rnacentral:rRNA from 1 species